AAACCCUGUCUCGAAAAUCCAAAAAAGAAAAAACAACUUUUAUAGGGUGAAUAACCACUGGUGUUUUGGGAGUCAACCUAGGGUAUAGUGAUUCAUUGUGUAUGUGGCCAAGAAUGUAUUGACCUCACCUAUGUACCCAGUCAACAUCAGGAGCAGUUGAUGCUCAGGCAGGGGCUGAAGGGAUCUCAUGAAGGUUCCUAUUUGAAAAAUAGACAUGAUGAUCAUAUUUGCACAACAGAACUUUUAUGACAAUCAAAUUUACUGUAUCAUGGGUAGUAGGAACUCAAGAGUGCCAUCUGUGUGUAGAAUCAACAUCUUUAACCUUGAAUGG